rnacentral:rRNA from 1 species
CUUAUAGAUGGAUCCGCGCUGCAUUAGCUAGUUGGUAAGGUAACGGCUUACCAAGGCAACGAUGCAUAGCCGACCUGAGAGGGUGAUCGGCCACACUGGAACUGAGACACGGUCCAGACUCCUACGGGAGGCAGCAGUAGGGAAUCUUCCGCAAUGGGCGAAAGCCUGACGGAGCAACGCCGCGUGAGUGAUGAAGGUCUUCGGAUCGUAAAACUCUGUUAUUAGGGAAGAACAUAUGUGUAAGUAACUGUGCACAUCUUGACGGUACCUAAUCAGAAAGCCACGGCUAACUACGUGCCAGCAGCCGCGGUAAUACGUAGGUGGCAAGCGUUAUCCGGAAUUAUUGGGCGUAAAGCGCGCGUAGGCGGUUUUUUAAGUCUGAUGUGAAAGCCCACGGCUCAACCGUGGAGGGUCAUUGGAAACUGGAAAACUUGAGUGCAGAAGAGGAAAGUGGAAUUCCAUGUGUAGCGGUGAAAUGCGCAGAGAUAUGGAGGAACACCAGUGGCGAAGGCGACUUUCUGGUCUGUAACUGACGCUGAUGUGCGAAAGCGUGGGGAUCAAACAGGAUUAGAUACCCUGGUAGUCCACGCCGUAAACGAUGAGUGCUAAGUGUUAGGGGGUUUCCGCCCCUUAGUGCUGCAGCUAACGCAUUAAGCACUCCGCCUGGGGAGUACGACCGCAAGGUUGAAACUCAAAGGAAUUGACGGGGACCCGCACAAGCGGUGGAGCAUGUGGUUUAAUUCGAAGCAACGCGAAGAACCUUACCAAAUCUUGACAUCCUUUGACAACUCUAGAGAUAGAGCCUUCCCCUUCGGGGGACAAAGUGACAGGUGGUGCAUGGUUGUCGUCAGCUCGUGUCGUGAGAUGUUGGGUUAAGUCCCGCAACGAGCGCAACCCUUAAGCUUAGUUGCCAUCAUUAAGUUGGGCACUCUAAGUUGACUGCCGGUGACAAACCGGAGGAAGGUGGGGAUGACGUCAAAUCAUCAUGCCCCUUAUGAUUUGGGCUACACACGUGCUACAAUGGACAAUACAAAGGGCAGCGAAACCGCGAGGUCAAGCAAAUCCCAUAAAGUUGUUCUCAGUUCGGAUUGUAGUCUGCAACUCGACUACAUGAAGCUGGAAUCGCUAGUAAUCGUAGAUCAGCAUGCUACGGUGAAUACGUUCCCGGGUCUUGUACACACCGCCCGUCACACCACGAGAGUUUGUAACACCCGAAGCCGGUGGAGUAACCUUUUAGGAGCUAGCCGUCGAAGGUGGGACAAAUGAUUGGGGUGAAGUCGUAACAAGGUAGCCGUAUCGGAAGGUGCGGCUGGAUCACCUCCUUU